rnacentral:rRNA from 1 species
UUGAACGCUGGCGGCAGGCCUAACACAUGCCAGUCGCACGGUAACAGGAAGAAGCUUGCUUCUUUGCUGACGAGUGGCGGACGGGUGAGUAAUGUCUGGGAAACCGCCUGAUGGAGGGGGAUAACUACUGGAAACGGUAGCUAAUACCGCAUAACGUCGCAAGACCCAAGAGGGGGACCUUCGGGCCUCUUGCCAUCGGAUGUGCCCAGAUGGGAUUAGCUAGUAGGUGGGGUAACGGCUCACCUAGGCGACGAUCCCUAGCUGGUCUGAGAGGAUGACCAGCCACACUGGAACUGAGACACGGUCCAGACUCCUACGGGAGGCAGCAGUGGGGAAUAUUGCACAAUGGGCGCAAGCCUGAUGCAGCCAUGCCGCGUGUAUGAAGAAGGCCUUCGGGUUGUAAAGUACUUUCAGCGGGGAGGAAGGGAGUAAAGUUAAUACCUUUGCUCAUUGACGUUACCCGCAGAAGAAGCACCGGCUAACUCCGUG